rnacentral:rRNA from 1 species
AGUGAACGCUGGCGGUAGGCCUAACACAUGCAAGUCGAACGGCAGCACAGUAAGAGCUUGCUCUUACGGGUGGCGAGUGGCGGACGGGUGAGGAAUACAUCGGAAUCUACUUUUUCGUGGGGGAUAACGUAGGGAAACUUACGCUAAUACCGCAUACGACCUACGGGUGAAAGCAGGGGAUCUUCGGACCUUGCGCGAUUGAAUGAGCCGAUGUCGGAUUAGCUAGUUGGCGGGGUAAAGGCCCACCAAGGCGACGAUCCGUAGCUGGUCUGAGAGGAUGGUCAGCCACACUGGAACUGAGACACGGUCCAGACUCCUACGGGAGGCAGCAGUGGGGAAUAUUGGACGAUGGGCGCAAGCCUGAUCCAGCCAUACCGCGUGGGUGAAGAAGGCCUUCGGGUUGUAAAGCCCUUUUGUUGGGAAAGAAAAGCAGCAGGUUAAUACCCCGCUGUUCUGACGGUACCCAAAGAAUAAGCACCGGCUAACUUCGUG